AUUGAACGCUGGCGGCAUGCCUUACACAUGCAAGUCGAACGGCAGCACGGGUGCUUGCACCUGGUGGCGAGUGGCGAACGGGUGAGUAAUACAUCGGAACGUACCUUAUCGUGGGGGAUAACGCAGCGAAAGCCGUGCUAAUAACGCAUACGCCCUGAGGGGGAAAGCGGGGGAUCGCAAGACCUCGCGCGAUUAGAGCGGCCGAUGCGUGAUUAGCUUGUUGGUGGGGUAAAAGCCCACCAAGGCGACGAUCAGUAGCUGGUCUGAGAGGGCGAGCAGCCACACUGGGACUGAGACACGGCCCAGACUCCUACGGGAGGCAGCAGGGGGGAAUUUUGGACAAUGGGGGCAACCCUGAUCCAGCAAUGCCGCGUGAGUGAAGAAGGCCUUCGGGUUGUAAAGCUCUUUUGUCAGGGAAGAAACACCGGCUCUAACACAGUCCGGGAAUGACGGUACCUGAAGAAUAAGCACCGGCUAACUACGUGCCAGCCGCCGCGGUAA
rnacentral:rRNA from 1 species